rnacentral:rRNA from 1 species
GACGAACGCUGGCGGCGUGUCUAAUACAUGCAAGUCGAGCGAACAGACGAGGAGCUUGCUCCUCUGACGUUAGCGGCGGACGGGUGAGUAACACGUGGAUAACCUACCUAUAAGACUGGGAUAACUUCGGGAAACCGGAGCUAAUACCGGAUAAUAUAUUGAACCGCAUGGUUCAAUAGUGAAAGACGGUUUUGCUGUCACUUAUAGAUGGAUCCGCGCCGCAUUAGCUAGUUGGUAAGGUAACGGCUUACCAAGGCGACGAUGCGUAGCCGACCUGAGAGGGUGAUCGGCCACACUGGAACUGAGACACGGUCCAGACUCCUACGGGAGGCAGCAGUAGGGAAUCUUCCGCAAUGGGCGAAAGCCUGACGGAGCAACGCCGCGUGAGUGAUGAAGGUCUUCGGAUCGUAAAACUCUGUUAUUAGGGAAGAACAAAUGUGUAAGUAACUAUGCACGUCUUGACGGUACCUAAUCAGAAAGCCACGGCUAACUACGUG